AGGCAACCUCCUUGCCAAUGAUUAAAUGGCUUGCGUGGUGUUAUUCUUCUCAUAGAUCAAUUUUUUUGCUCUUCAGACUUGCCUAGAUUAGGUGUUAUAAUCUAAUCUUUGAAGCUGGUCUAGUAAGCUCAAGCACAUU